rnacentral:rRNA from 1 species
GCGUGGGGAGCAAACAGGAUUAGCUACCCUGGUAGUCACGCCCUAAACGAUGUCAACUGGUUGUUGGUCUUCACUGAUUCAGUAACGAAGCUAACGCGUGAAGUUGACCGCCUGGGGAGUACGGCCGCAAGGUUAAAACUCAAAGGAAUUGACGGGGACCCGCACAAGCGGUGGAUGAUGUGGUUUAAUUCGAUGCAACGCGAAAAACCUUACCCACCUUUGACAUGUACGGAAUCCUGCAGAGACGCAGGAGUGCUCGAAAGAGAGCCGUAACACAGGUGCUGCAUGGCUGUCGUCAGCUCGUGUCGUGAGAUGUUGGGUUAAGUCCCGCAACGAGCGCAACCCUUGCCAUUAGUUGCUACGAAAGGGCACUCUAAUGGGACUGCCGGUGACAAACCGGAGGAAGGUGGGGAUGACGUCAAGUCCUCAUGGCCCUUAUAGGUGGGGCUACACACGUCAUACAAUGGCUGGUACAAAGGGUUGCCAACCCGCGAGGGGGAGCCAAUCCCAUAAAGCCAGUCGUAGUCCGGAUCGCAGUCCGCAACUCGACUGCGUGAAGUCGGAAUCGCUAGUAAUCGUGGAUCAGCAUGUCACGGUGAAUACGUUCCCGGGUCUUGUACACACCGCCCGUCACACCAUGGGAGCGGGUUCUGCCAGAAGUAGUUAGCCUAACCGCAAGGGGGGCGAUUACCACGGCAGGGUUCGUGACUGGGGUGAAGUCGUAACAAGGUAGCCGUAUCGGAAGGUGCGGCUGGAUCACCUCCUU